rnacentral:lncRNA from 1 species
GCCAGUGUGAAAUAAGGAAGACAAUUGCAUGAGGACCUCCAAACUCUUCCUUACCCUCCAUCUAUUUAUUGAUAACCAUAAAUUAGUUUGUAAGAAAACAACAUGAAAUAAAAGUAAUAACUGAGGGAAACAGGAUGGAGGGAAAAAGGAGCAAUGCAUUUAUGUUUAUAAUCUUUUUCUCCGCAUCGAUACGCAUCCUACUAUAAAUUCAUUACGCGUGUUUUCAUGUGUCCAGCCCUGUGGUGGAUGCUACGCGGGAUGCACAAGAUGUACAGAGCCUAGCCCCUGUGCUCAUGGAGGUUUUCGUCUCAUGGGAAAGGCAUUAAUAAAGUCUUCCAUCUGUGUCACUGAAGAGGGAUCAGCAUUUCCUUGAUAUGAAGGAGGAAACUGAGCCUUAGAGGGUUGAAGGACCUGAGGAGACAGCAGGGGGAUUGGGGCUCAAGUUCCAGUGUCCUGACUCCAGGUUUCGUGUUCUUCCCACUCUGCCGUUAUUCUCAUCCAGCUUCCUCUGCAGACACUUCAUAGAGCUGUGACACGGGAAGCAGCGUGGCAGUGCCUCAUCGACUGGCCGUGACAAGGAGAAUUGACUCUCAGGAUAAGGAAAUCAAUGAGGGCUGAGGAGAACGGCAAGGAAGGAGAGUAGAAGAUGGAGCUGGAGGAAACUGUAGGACUUGGCCAGAGGCCUAUCGAGGGAGAGCCUUCCAGACUCCGCGGGUCCUUGUGUGUGUCGUCCAAAGGGCCACAGAAAAGCCACCAGACACUGUGUUUUCAAGAGCUUAUUAUGGAAGCAGUGAGAACGAGGUAAAUGUAUUCUCCCUCUAUCUCUGUAUAUGCAAAUACAAAUAUAUACAUAUGUAUACG